rnacentral:rRNA from 1 species
CAGCCGCAACAGCCCGCUGGCUCGCACGGGGUGCUCUUCACCGAGUGUCCCGCGUGGCCGGCAGAGUUUACUUUGAAAAAAUUAGAGUGCUCAAAGCAGGCUACACUGACAGCCUGAAUGCCUAUGCAUGGAAUAAUGGAAUAGGACCUCGGUUCUAUUUUGUCGGUUUUCUGAACCCGAGGUAAUGACUAAUAGGAACAGGCGGGGGCAUUCGUAUUGCGACGCUAGAGGUGAAAUUCUUGGACCGUCGCAAGACGAACUACUGCGAAAGCAUUUGCCAAGGAUGUUUUCAUUAAUCAAGAACGAAAGUUAGAGGUUCGAAGGCGAUCAGAUACCGCCCUAGUUCUAACCAUAAACGAUGCUGACCAGCGAUCCGCCGGCGUUAUUCCCAUGACCCGGCGGGCAGCUUCCGGGAAACCAAAGUCUUUGGGUUCCGGGGGAAGUAUGGUUGCAAAGCUGAAACUUAAAGGAAUUGACGGAAGGGCACCACCAGGAGUGGAGCCUGCGGCUUAAUUUGACUCAACACGGGGAACCUCACCAGGCCCAGACACCGGAAGGAUUGACAGAUUGAGAGCUCUUUCUCGAUUCNGUGGGUGGUGGUGCAUGGCCGUUCUUANUUGGUGGANCNAUUUGUCUGGUUAAUUCCNAUAAC